GACGAACGCUGGCGGCGUGCUUAACACAUGCAAGUCGAGCGGUAAGGCUCCUUCGGGAGUACACGAGCGGCGAACGGGUGAGUAACACGUGAGCAAUCCGCCCUUCACACGGGGAUAACCCUCGGAAACGAGAGCUAAUACCCGAUACGACCACCUCAGGCAUCUUAUGGUGGUGGAAAGGUCCGGCGGUGAAGGAUGAGCUCGCGGCCUAUCAGCUUGUUGGUGGGGUAACGGCCCACCAAGGCAACGACGGGUAGCCGGCCUGAGAGGGUGACCGGCCACACUGGGACUGAGACACGGCCCAGACUCCUACGGGAGGCAGCAGUGGGGAAUAUUGGACAAUGGGCGAAAGCCUGAUCCAGCAACGCCGCGUGAGGGAUGACGGCCUUCGGGUUGUAAACCUCUUUCAGCAGGGACGAAGCGCAAGUGACGGUACCUGCAGAAGAAGCACCGGCCAACUACGUGCCAGCCGCCGCAGUAA
rnacentral:rRNA from 1 species